rnacentral:rRNA from 1 species
GACGAACGCUGGCGGCGUGCUUAACACAUGCCAGUCGAACGGAAAGGCCCUGCUUUUGUGGGGUGCUCGAGUGGCGAACGGGUGAGUAACACGUGAGUAACCUGCCCUUGACUUUGGGAUAACUUCAGGAAACUGGGGCUAAUACCGGAUAGGAUCUCCUGCUGCAUGGUGGGGGUUGGAAAGUUUCGGCGGUUGGGGCUGGACGCGCGGCUUACCAGCUUGUUGGUGGGGUAGUGGCUUACCAAGGCUUUGACGGGUAGCCGGCCUGAGAGGGUGACCGGCCACAUUGGGACUGCGAUACGGCCCAGACUCCUACGGGAGGCAGCAGUGGGGAAUAUUGCACAGUGGGCGGAAGCCUGAUGCAGCAACGCCGCGUGCGGGAUGACGGCCUUCGGGUUGUAAACCGCUUUCGCCUGUGACGAAGCGUGAGUGACGGUAAUGGGUAAAGAAGCACCGGCUAACUACGUG